GUAUCCUUCCACCGUGCCCGGGCGGGGUCCAGGCGGCUCACCGGGGGCGGCGACGCGGCGGCGGUGCGGGCGGCAGGGCAGCGGGGCGAUGAGGUGAGGACGCCCGGGAACCGGAGGCGGCACCGCGCGGCGCACGGACCUGGGACGCGGAGUCCUGAAGCCGGCGGACGGUUUUCGUACGGGCGGCCGUGCGCGAGGCGAGGUAAUGGUAACUCGGGAUUUGAAGGACAGAGUCGCUAUGUACCAUCCUCUGGAAUGUCCGCCAAGGAACUCUGUGAAAAUGAUGACCUAGCAACCAGUUUGGUUCUUGAUCCCUAUUUAGGUUUUCAAACACACAAAAUGAAUACUAGCGCCUUUCCUUCGAGGAGCUCAAGGCAUUUUUCAAAAUCUGACAGUUUUUCUCACAACAACCCUGUGAGAUUUAGGCCUAUUAAAGGAAGGCAGGAAGAACUAAAGGAAGUAAUUGAACGUUUUAAGAAAGAUGAACACUUGGAGAAAGCCUUCAAAUGUUUGACUUCAGGCGAAUGGGCACGGCACUAUUUUCUCAACAAGAAUA
rnacentral:lncRNA from 10 species